rnacentral:rRNA from 1 species
UACGUAGGGCGCAAGCGUUGUCCGGAAUUACUGGGCGUAAAGGGCGCGUAGGCGGCCACCGCAAGUCGGUUGUGAAAUCUCUGGGCUUAACCCAGAAAGGUCAACCGAUACUGCGGGGCUAGAGUGCAGAAGGGGCAACUGGAAUUCUCGGUGUAGCGGUGAAAUGCGUAGAUAUCGAGAGGAACACCUGCGGCGAAGGCGGGUUGCUGGGCUGACACUGACGCUGAAGCGCGAAAGCUAGGGGAGCGAACGGG